rnacentral:misc_RNA from 1 species
AACAGAAUCAAAGAAAGGGCUUUGUUUGGGGAACGUGUUGUCUAUCCCAGCAUUGUAACUUGGCGUGCUAGGAACAGAAUCAAAGGAUGGCAUUUGAUUCGGUAGUGUGUUGGACUGUUUGGACCCCGUUUUAAUAGGGGCUAAGCCCCAAUCAUCAUCUCCAAAAAGAGAAGAUUCCUUGAGAUUGUCAUGAUCUGAAUCCUUUGCAACAGAAUUGACGUCCCAUGCAGCAUCAGUGUCAAAGUUGGUAUCAAAUGUACCCCAGCCAGAUCCAUCAAAACCUUUAUCCCUCGAGAACACAGAUUCAGUACCCCAGUGUUCACUUUGGGCAGCAUUGGGUGAACCAUCAAAACUAGUCUCCUUCCUUUGCGCACCAUGGGGUGAACCAUCAAAACUGACAUCCUUCCCGUACAUAGACUCUUGGACUUCUUUUGACGGGCUUUCAACUGCAUUACUCCUUGAUGGACUAUCAGUUGGACUUCUUGCUGUUUGCUGAUGUCCAUGUGCAGAUUCCAUGUCACCAACUUCUCUAGCUUGUACAUGGUUUGACAGCUUAUCUAUCUUUGCAUCAGUAUCAGCAUCAGCAGAUGAUUUUCCAGAAUCAUGUUCAGCUAAAGAAGAUGCUUUCUCACGAACCAAUGAUGACUUUGUUUUAGGAGGGGCAAUGACGUUUUUCACAUCGAGUGUCAGCUCUUUCACAAAUGUGAAUCCUUCAUCUUCAAACUUAUCCCACUCUUCAUCCCAGUCUGCUGCAACCUCUUGGAUGCCUGGUUGCCAACCAAAUGGAAGCUCAAGCAGUGUAGUUGGUUUAGCUCGUAAACCAUAAGUUUUGCACCGUUCAUUCAGUGAUUUUACUAGCUCCUCAAGGUUCACCUGAAUGUGACUAGCACGGUCCUGGAUACCAUCAGUCUUGCCAUCUUGAUCCAUUUUAACAAUUUCCUUGUAUAGCUCCAUUUUUUUCUCCUGAAUAUCCCGAAAGGUGGCCUCUUCAAUGGUCAAUUUAGAAGCAACGUCUCCUGUCUGCUUGUAUUUCUCUUCAUAUUUUUUAGCCAAUAACUCAACCUCUCUUUUGUCAGCAGAAGUUCUUUGGGUGAUCUCAUUUAGUCUAUUGUCGCAUCGACUUUUGUAUAAAAUUAUUUCUUGCAUCUUUGCAUGGUAGAACUGAAUUUUUUCUUUUGCUUCUAAAAUUUCCUUCUCCAAUUCCAUGACCUUCUUUUCUGCAUCAGUUGCUUCCUGGAACUUUGAACUCAAUGCAUCCUGUUCCUCUUGACUAAGUUGGUCCACAAGAUGCUUCUCCAGUGCAGGAACUUUAGGCUUCUGUUGACCAGGCUGCACAACUUCAUUGGGCUGGGGAAUAGGAACUGGACGUGGAGGCCUUCCUGGAGCGCCAGAAGCCAUCUGUCCUGGAACAACCCUUGGCCCCUGUGUUUGCUGGGUGGCUGGUGUGUGUCUCCAAGCAACAGCACCAUGUGGUGGGACAGGCUGACCAGAAGCAGGUAAUAACGACUCGUCGAAAAUAAGAUUGGUCGGAAGGACUGAAGGAAGAGGGUGACCUUCCCUGUGCCGCUCCAUCAGGUAAAGCGCAAUGCAGAAUUCCCUUAAAGACAGCAUGCUGUCGUUGUCUUGAUCAGAUAAAUCCCACACCUGUUUCAGCACCUCUCGAGGCAGCUUCCAACUUAGAAAGAGGUUCCUUGCCUCCAGGCCAGAAAUUUUUCCAUCCCUGUCUGAGUCCACAGCCAUAAAUACUUUGCUGUACUUCUGAUAAUCAGACCGGGUCAUUCUUGGCCAAGGAAUCUGAGACUGACUGGAACGAGAAUUUCCAGCUGCAUUAGGAUUUGCACCAGCACUUGGCACUAAGACCUGUUUGUUUGGUCUCCCAGUCAACUGAGCUUGCUGAUGCUGAUUUACUGGUUUCUGCGGAAGUGCAACUUGUGAAACAAUUGGGCUGGCCUUUACUGGAUGUUGGAGCCCUGCAGAUGCAGAGACAAUGGCUGGUGAGACUGGAAAGCUGCCAGCAGAAGAUAUACUAGGUGCGGAGUUUUGUUUUGGUUGAACUGAUGCAACUGAAAAAGCAUCUCCAAAAAGCGAGUCAGAUGCAAAUCCAUUUCCUGAAACUGGAACGGCUUUAGGAUCCUUAACAUCUGGCUGGUUACCAAGCAGAGCGGCAUCAUUUAAAUUUGAUGAACCUGGUGUUGCCGAAUAAGUGGUCUUUUGUUGGUUCUGUUGUGGAGAAGCAUGAUCAAAUCCAUCCUGACUUCUAGAAUUUAUACUGAUAUUAGGAGCUUGGGAAGUAACAGCUGCUUGGGAGCCACCAUUACCAGAAAGCCAAUCAGAAGAAUUGGCUUGACUAAAAGCUGCCAUGGUACCACCAGGCAUUCCAUGACUAGAAGCACCUGAUUGAGAUGGGAAACUGGUGCUUUGAACGGAGGGUCGAGGAGGCCGCAUAUACUGGCUCUGCGGAACUGGUAAACCCUGUUGACCCCUAAUGCCAAAACUCGGUGCUUCUGUUGGAGCAGCACGACUAACUGGAGGCACUGCAGAACCAACUCUAUUUGCUGGACGAGGACCUGCUACAGCUGCAAGGUUUAUCUGUGGGGCAGGAAUUUUAGCUGAAGCUGGCGUAAAUAGUGCAGCUUUCACUAUUUCUGGGGUCAACUCUCGUUUCUGCGCCACUGUAACAAGCUUAAGAUAGUUGAAAAAUUCCUGACGGCUAAGGAAACCGGUCCGACUUUGAUCAACAUAUGUCCAUAUCUGAGCAAGGACUGGUUUAGGCAAAUUAGAGCCUUGAAAGAAGGAAACAGCCUCAACACCACUGAUCCGACCAUCCUGAUCCAAAUCUGCUCUGCGAAAAUAAGCCUCAAAUUGAUCCGUUUGGUUCUGCGCAGCCAUUACUGAGUCGAUUCAAUCAGUUUGAGAAUACUGAAUUAGAUCUGUGAUAAGGAAUAGGGCAGAGAAUUAGAGAGGUUUAAGAAGAUCCCAGGUGGUGAUCCGCCGCCGCCGCCGCCGCCGGACAGUGGACAGUGGUGGUAUCGAUAGGCGGGGGAUCGAGAAAAGUGAUGUCAGAAGUUUGAUGGGGUUUGUGGCCAAGGUGAU